rnacentral:lncRNA from 1 species
GAAAUCCUCAAACUCAUCCGAUGUGUUGUGGCAGAGCUUUGACUACCCCACAGAUACUUUCCUCCCUGGUGCAAAACUUGGUUGGGACAAGGCCUCUGGUUUGAACCGCCGUCUUGUUUCAAGGAAGAAUUUGAUCGACCUAACUCCUGGACGAUACUCUGAGGAAUUAGAUCCAAGCGGUACUAAUCAGUACAUCAUUACACUGUUGAACUCCUCCAUACCAUAUUGGUUCGGUGGGAUAUGGAACGGCAAAUACUUUACCUUGGUGCCAGAGAUGGAAGGGGCCCAACCUUUCAAUUUAACAUUUGUCAGUAAUGACCAAGAGAAGUACUUCACAUAUAAUUUACUAGAUGAAACAACAGUUGUCCGUCAUGUAAUGGAUGUCUCAGGUCAAGUUAAAACAUUCAUUUGGCUUGAAAGCUCGCAGGAUUGGUUAGUUUACUAUGCCCAACCUAGAGCACGGUGUGAUGUCUAUGCUGGAUGUGGACCUUUCACAGUUUGCAAUGAUAAUGAACUGCCACACUGCAACUGUAUGAAGGGUUUCUUGAUAAGAUCACCAAAGGACUGGGACUUAGGUGACCAAACAGAUGGGUGCAUGAGAAAUAUUCCGUUAAAUUGUGUGGACAACAAGAGCACAGGUAGUUCAAUUGACAAGUUCUAUUCUAUACAGUGUGUCACACUACCUCAUAAUGCCUACAACAUAGAAGCUGCUACCAAUGCAGGUAAAUGUGAAACAGUUUGCUUAAGUAAUUGCUCUUGCACGGCAUAUUCUUAUGGCAAUGGUGGCUGCUUUGUCUGGUACAGUGAAUUACUUAAUGUAAAACAGCAGCAGUGUAAUGGCACAUCUGAUAUUAAUGGAGGAACUCUAUACGUUCGCCUUGCUGCAAAAGAGGAGCAAAGUCGAAAAAACAACAUAAGAGGAAUGAUGAUUGCCAUUAGCCUUGGUGUAAGCUCUGCCAUCAUGUUUCCUCUAGCACUUGUAUUAAUGAUUUGGUGGAACAAGAAAAAGAGGUGCAACUUUGCAUUGAACAAUGCUCAAGGUGGUAAUGGAAUUAUUCCAUUUACAUAUACUGAUUUGCAGCGUGCAACUAAGAGCUUCUCAGAAAAGCUGGGAGAAGGCGGCUUUGGUUCCGUAUUCAAGGGCUUUCUAAGAAACUCAACCAUAGCAGUGAAAAGGCUUGAUAGAGUGCACCAAGGAGAGAAACAGUUCAGGGCUGAAAUUAGCUCACUUGGACUUAUCCAACAUAUAAAUUUAAUUAAGUUAAUUGGAUUUAGCUGCAACAGUAAUAAAAAAUAUCUUGUCUAUGAAUAUAUGCCAAAUCAUUCCCUUGACAAACACCUAUUCCCAGGCAAUGCUAAUAUCUUGAAUUGGGAUACUAGGUAUCAAAUAGCACUAGGAGUUGCUAAAGGACUAGCCUAUUUGCAUGAGAGCUGUCGAGACUGCAUUAUGCACUGUGAUGUUAAACCUGAGAACAUACUUCUCGAUGAAUCAUUUAUUCCCAAAAUUGCAGAUUUUGGAAUGGCAAAGUUUUUACACAGGGAUUUCAGCCGAGCUUUGACUACAAUGAGAGGCACCAUUGGAUAUCUUGCACCUGAAUGGAUCAGUGGAGUGGCCAUCACACCAAAAGUAGAUGUCUACAGCUAUGGAAUGCUUCUGUUCGAAAUUAUUUCGGGAAGGAGGAACUCACACAGGGAACUUACCACUGUUGGUGAUGAUUAUACUUAUUUCCCAGUGCAAGUCGCACAUAAGCUUCUUAUAGGCAAUGUUGGAAGCAUGGUGGAUCACAAAUUACAUGGUGAUGUCAAUGUAAAGGAAGCUGAAAGAGCUUGCAAGGUUGCUUGUUGGUGCGUUCAAGACAAUGAGGCUGAUCGACCAAUGAUGGGUGAAGUGGUUCAAAUUCUUGAGGGUUUAAAAGAGCUUGGCAUGCCCCCAGUGCCAAAACUACUUCAAGCUAUAGCAGAAGACUCUCAUUCAGUGUGAAUUUAGUCUUUUUUGCCAAAAACAUUUCAAUUUAAGGAGCUGCCAAGUUUUUCAUCAGCAGAGAUACGAUUAAUGUUUAUCAACAUCCGGCAAAUUCUUAUACCAAUGACUAUAUGGUAAGCUAAGGAGUUAAUAAAAAAAAUACUAAAUCAACUUGUGAACUACAUUAAAUGUAUAUAAACUCAGGAUUCUAGCCACAAGAGAGAGAUUGGAGGUGAUUGUGACAGGUGAAAUGUUGCAUACCAGUGUUGUAUAAAACCAUAAAGUCAGUCAGAGUAGCUGCCUGUGGCCAUUAACAGUCGAUGGGUGACAUAUAAACAUCAAAAUAGGCUUCAAUCUACUUGAGGAAGGCCUAGUAGUCCAUUUCUGCUCGAGUUAGGUUGAUUUUGUGCCCAAACGCUAAUUAGGCUGAGAGCAAAAAGAAUUAAAUUACAGAACAGCUAUUUUAUUUUCCACGAGAGUAAAAAAAAAAGGCAAAUUACAUACCUGUGAUACCUAAGUGCAAGUUGUCUGGCUUUGCGGGGUGUUACUUGAUUCCUGAGAACCAUGGUCUGCGACAACACCAAGUCAAACGACGGAGGCUAAAAAUACUGAUUUCCCGACACCACGUCAAAUGCAGCAACAUCCUGGGCUCCCGAAAGGUUUUGGGAACUGGGACGGCGCUGCGGUGGCUCUCGCGGGGUAUUUGGGGAUGACGCAGUGGUGUUGGCCCCGCCGAGGCUUCCCGGAAGAAAGGAGUGGGGGUGGGCCCUGGGGUGUACCGGGAUGGCUCGACGGCGGAGGUAGCCGCCGAGGCAUCCCGCGGCGGCGGGGUGGGGGUGAGGCCUGGCUAACCUGAUGCGGUGGGCUGUGGGGGUUCGGAGGGAAGUGGCUUCGCCGAGGAGGUUGCCGCCGGCACGGCAAAGGGAGGAGGAGCCGGGCUUGGUGGGGGGCAGAGAGUUGGAGAAGGAGCAACUGAGCAAGAGUGGACAAGAGUGGAAUUGAUCACUGGUGUUGCCAUUGGUGCAAACAUUGCAGCCUCCAGUUUCGUCCUUCUAGUAGUGAUCUGGAGGAGAAAUGGUUUGUGGUCUAGCGCACGUACAACGCUACAACAGACAAUUGCCAGAAGGUACUGUUGGCAUCAUUGCAUUCAGGCAUGUUGAUUUGCAGCGUGCAACGAAAAAGUUCAGUGAAGCUAGGCAAUUGUUGAUGCAGUACACUGCAGCUGCAUGGAAUGGUGUGAAUACUGACCAUGGGAAAGGUCGCUGCAGAGGCUCUCCAUUCACAACUGCCAGUCAUGUAUGUAAGGUACAACCUGACUUUUAUGCCAGAUACGGAGAUACUGCCUCCCAUAUACUCCCUCCGUUCCAAAUUGCAGGUCGUUUUGGAUUUUCUAGUUUUGCUAUGCACUUAAAUUUAAAUAUAGUGUAUAUCUAGAUGUAUAAUAAAAUCCGUAAACUAAAAAAGUUAAAAGUUAAAACGACCUGUAACGGGAGGAGUACUGUUCCAG